GCUCCUUGGAAUUAGAAGGGGUCCACAUCAUUCAACUCCCCAAUUUUUGUUCAUUUAUGAAAUGUAACUCACCACCAUAUCAGUACACAAAUCUUGUGUUCACUGAAUGUGAUUGAAAUAAAAUCAAUAACUUAUUAUCAAAAUUGGUAAAAUGAAAGGUACAGGAUACAAUUGCAAAAGCAUGCAAAGUUUAGGAUUUAUUCAAUGAUUAGGCCUUUUAACAUCUUAUAUACUUUUUAGUACAUAUUUAUUGUUAAUUGAGAAGAUGUAUUGAUUCUUGAUUGGAAAAUUG
rnacentral:misc_RNA from 1 species